rnacentral:rRNA from 1 species
CUACGUGCCAGCAGCCGCGGUAAUACGGAGGGUGCGAGCGUUAAUCGGAAUAACUGGGCGUAAAGCGCGCGCAGGCGGAUUGGUCAGUCUGUCUUAAAAGUUCGGGGCUUAACCCCGUGAUGGGAUGGAAACUGCCAAUCUAGAGUAUCGGAGAGGAAAGUGGAAUUCCUAGUGUAGCGGUGAAAUGCGUAGAUAUUAGGAAGAACACCAGUGGCGAAGGCGACUUUCUGGACGAAAACUGACGCUGAGGCGCGAAAGCCAGGGGAGCGAACGGGAUUAGAUACCCCGGUAGUCCUGGCCGUAAACGAUGGGUACUAGGUGUAGGAGGUAUCGACCCCUUCUGUGCCGGAGUUAACGCAAUAAGUACCCCGCCUGGGGAGUACGACCGCAAGGUUGAAACUCAAAGGAAUUGACGGGGGCCCGCACAAGCGGUGGAGUAUGUGGUUUAAUUCGACGCAACGCGAAGAACCUUACCAAGCCUUGACAU